UAUCCAGUCCUCCAGCUCUUCAGGAGUGGGCAGGUCCUCGUCAUUCGACAUGUCCAGCCACACGCUGUCCGCCUGGAACACAAGGAUCUCCAGGAACUCAUAGCCAUCUGAGGAUGACGAGAACAGAACCGUUCACCUUCAAAUACCACCGAAAGAACUGCAAAACCAAAAGCCGAUGAGGCGGAUGUCUUCCUCCAUCCUCUCGAAGGCUCGCAGCUCCAUGGCAGUAUUGAUCAUCUCCACUGGGUCCUCCAGCACCUACAGGGGGCAGUAUAACACAGAAACUCCACCAGCGUGUCUGCGGAGAGCUCCCCGUCAAACUCGAUGACACGGUCGUCCUUGAAGACGUACAAGCUGCCCACCUCCUCCAGACCUGAUGAAACAGCAGUU